rnacentral:rRNA from 1 species
CAGCCGCCGCGGUAAUACGGAGGGAGCUAGCGUUGUUCGGAAUUACUGGGCGUAAAGUGCGCGUAGGCGGUUACUCAAGUCAGAGGUGAAAGCCCGGGGCUCAACCCCGGAACUGCCUUUGAAACUAGGUGACUAGAAUCUUGGAGAGGUCAGUGGAAUUCCGAGUGUAGAGGUGAAAUUCGUAGAUAUUCGGAAGAACACCAGUGGCGAAGGCGACUGACUGGACAAGUAUUGACGCUGAGGUGCGAAAGCGUGGGGAGCAAACAGGAUUAGAUACCCCAGUAGUCCCUGUCUCUUAUAC